CAGGUUUACCUGUGUGACUGCGUACCUUUUGUAUAAUGGGUCAGCGACUUAUAUUCUGUAGCAAGGUUAACCGUAUAGGGGAGCCGUAGGGAAACCGAGUCUUAACCGGGCGUUAAGUUGCAGGGUAUAGACCCGAAACCCGGUGAUCUAGCCAUGGGCAGGUUGAAGGUUGGGUAACACUAACUGGAGGACCGAACCGACUAAUGUUGAAAAAUUAGCGGAUGACCUGUGGCUGGGGGUGAAAGGCCAAUCAAACCGGGAGAUAGCUGGUUCUCCCCGAAAGCUAUUUAGGUAGCGCCUCGUGAAUUCAUCUCCGGGGGUAGAGCACUGUUUCGGCUAGGGGGCCAUCCCGGCUUACCAACCCGAUGCAAACUGCGAAUACCGGAGAAUGUUAUCACGGGAGACACACGGCGGGUGCUAACGUCCGUCGUGAAGAGGGAAACAACCCAGACCGCCAGCUAAGGUCCCAAAGUCAUGGUUAAGUGGGAAACGAUGUGGGAAGGCCCAGACAGCCAGGAUGUUGGCUUAGAAGCAGCCAUCAUUUAAAGAAAGCGUAAUAGCUCACUGGUCGAGUCGGCCUGCGCGGAAGAUGUAACGGGGCUAAACCAUGCACCGAAGCUGCGGCAGCGACACUAUGUGUUGUUGGGUAGGGGAGCGUUCUGUAAGCCUGUGAAGGUGUGUCGUGAGGCAUGCUGGAGGUAUCAGAAGUGCGAAUGCUGACAUAAGUAACGAUAAAGCGGGUGAAAAGCCCGCUCGCCGGAAGACCAAGGGUUCCUGUCCAACGUUAAUCGGGGCAGGGUGAGUCGACCCCUAAGGCGAGGCCGAAAGGCGUAGUCGAUGGGAAACGGGUUAAUAUUCCCGUACUUGGUGUUACUGCGAAGGGGGGACGGAGAAGGCUAUGUUGGCCGGGCGACGGUUGUCCCGGUUUAAGCGUGUAGGUGUGUGUUCCAGGUAAAUCCGGUUCACUUUAACACUGAGGCGUGAUGACGAGGCACUACGGUGCUGAAGCAACAAAUGCCCUGCUUCCAGGAAAAGCCUCUAAGCAUCAGGUAACAUCAAAUCGUACCCCAAACCGACACAGGUGGUCAGGUAGAGAAUACCAAGGCGCUUGAGAGAACUCGGGUGAAGGAACUAGGCAAAAUGGUGCCGUAACUUCGGGAGAAGGCACGCUGACACGUAGGUGAAGUGAUUUACUCAUGGAGCUGAAGUCAGUCGAAGAUACCAGCUGGCUGCAACUGUUUAUUAAAAACACAGCACUGUGCAAACACGAAAGUGGACGUAUACGGUGUGACGCCUGCCCGGUGCCGGAAGGUUAAUUGAUGGGGUCAGCGCAAGCGAAGCUCCUGAUCGAAGCCCCGGUAAACGGCGGCCGUAACUAUAACGGUCCUAAGGUAGCGAAAUUCCUUGUCGGGUAAGUUCCGACCUGCACGAAUGGCGUAAUGAUGGCCAGGCUGUCUCCACCCGAGACUCAGUGAAAUUGAACUCGCUGUGAAGAUGCAGUGUACCCGCGGCAAGACGGAAAGACCCCGUGAACCUUUACUAUAGCUUGACACUGAACAUUGAGCCUUGAUGUGUAGGAUAGGUGGGAGGCUUUGAAGCGUGGACGCCAGUCUGCGUGGAGCCGACCUUGAAAUACCACCCUUUAAUGUUUGAUGUUCUAACGUGGACCCGU
rnacentral:rRNA from 1 species